ensembl:lncRNA
AAAGAAGACCUAUCGUCUCAAACCCAUGCUCUCCAGUCACCAACGGUAGUCAAGUAGAACCUCUUAUACGACAUUCUACUACCAGGCUCGGUGUGCACCAGGCAUAACACGUCACAUGUUGGGACAUGGACAUUUUCACUGCAGGCUCAUAACACUCUCAGGUUUCUGUGGGUUCUGCAGGCUAAUCCCUGCCCCACCCUUUCAGCGGAGCAGCGAGUGCUGUCCUUCAGGCGGCUAAUCCCGUUGGCACAGCCUAGCUUGCUUUAAUCCUCCCACAUCGCCCAGCGCUCCGCAGCCUACACACUCUCACCGCUUCUGGGAUGACGGGCCACUGUUAAGACCCUCAGGAUGUUCAGCUGGGUGGUGAAGGGGGUUCCCCAGCCUCCUGGGAAACUAGGAGAUGAGGAGAAGACCAAUGCCUCACCUGCAACAGUAAAACAAGUAACAUUCAAAGAAGAGAAGAAACAAGAAGCUCUAAAACCUGCCAAGGCCAAAGAGGAGGAGGUCGCCGAGGAGAAUGGUGGUGAGGCUGGAGUGUUGACUUGGAUCACCCAUGGCUUUGCUAAUUCUCUUCCCCAGCCUGCUGGGACAGCCCGGCUAGGCAGAUCCAACACUGAGCCCUCCACCACACAGGAGGAGAACAGGCAGGGGUCAGUCAUCGGCUGGAUUGCCCAGGGAUUGGCCAGUGUGGUUCCACAGCCUGAAUUGAAAAACAUGGAGGAGGUGGAGCCUGCAGAGACAACAGAGAUUGCAGAGGUGAUCAAGGUGCCGGAGGUUAAGAAAAAACCUAGCAUUGCAGAGGUGAGCAAGGCGCCGGAGGUUAAGAAAAAACCUAGCAUUGCAGAGGUGAGCAAGGCGCCGGAGGUUAAGAAAAAACCUAGCAUUGCAGAGGUGAGCAAGGCGCCGGAGGUUAAGAAAAAACCUAGCAUUGCAGAGGUGAGCAAUGCGCCGGAGGUUAAGAAAACACCUACCGUGCAUGCUAUCCAAGAUGUCCCAGAUGCAGAGCCUCUUCCUCAUAUUCCUGUGGUGGAGGUUAUGUCAGAUGAAGAGCCUCAAGAAGAGAAGGGAAUCCCACCCAGGGUGUAUGAGUGGAUCAAACAGGGUUUUGAGAGGUGGUUCCACAGCCAGCUGACAACAAAGACGUCUCACGCGAAGGCCGCUGCCCACAGAAAGGUUAUCUUCUAACACGCCGAGAUCCUCAUAUUUAUUAUAGGG